CCUACGGGAGCAGCAGUGGGGAAUUUUGGACAAUGGGCGCAAGCCUGAUCCAGCAAUGCCGCGUGAGUGAAGAAGGCCUUCGGGUUGUAAAGCUCUUUUGUCAGGGAAGAAACGGCUGAGGCGAAUACCUUUGGCUAAUGACGGUACCUGAAGAAUAAGCACCGGCUAACUACGUGCCAGCAGCCGCGGUAAUACGUAGGGUGCAAGCGUUAAUCGGAAUUACUGGGCGUAAAGCGUGCGCAGGCGGUUUUGUAAGUCUGACGUGAAAUCCCCGGGCUCAACCUGGGAAUUGCGUUGGAGACUGCAAGGCUGGAGUCUGGCAGAGGGGGGUAGAAUUCCACGUGUAGCAGUGAAAUGCGUAGAGAUGUGGAGGAACACCGAUGGCGAAGGCAGCCCCCUGGGUCAAGACUGACGCUCAUGCACGAAAGCGUGGGGAGCAAACAGGAUUAGAUACCCUGGUAGUCCACGCCCUAAACGAUGUCUACUAGUUGUCGGGUCUUAAUUGACUUGGUAACGCAGCUAACGCGUGAAGUAGACCGCCUGGGGAUACGGUCGCAAGNUUAAAACUUAAGGAAUUGACGG
rnacentral:rRNA from 1 species